CCAAUAGCGUAUAUUAAAGUUGUUGCAGUUAAAAAGCUCGUAGUUGAAUUUCGAGAUCAAUUUGUGGGUCGUGCCUCGGUACGUACUGGCAUUAUUGAUUUCUCCCUUCUGAAGAACCGCGAUGUCAUUAAUUUGGUGUCGUGGGGAAUCAGGACUGUUACUUUGAAAAAAUUAGAGUGUUUAAAGCAGGCACACGCUUGAAUACAUUAGCAUGGAAUAAUGAAAUAGGACGUUUGAUUCUAUUUUGUUGGUUUCUAGGAUCGACGUAAUGAUUAAUAGGGAUAGUUGGGGGCAUUAGUAUUCAAUUGUCAGAGGUGAAAUUCUUGGAUUUAUUGAAGACUAACUACUGCGAAAGCAUUUGCCAAGGAUGUUUUCAUUAAUCAAGAACGAAAGUUAGGGGAUCGAAGACGAUCAGAUACCGUCGUAGUCUUAACCAUAAACUAUGCCGACUAGGGAUCGGAUGAUGUUAAUUUUUUAAUGACUCAUUCGGCGCCUUACG
rnacentral:misc_RNA from 1 species